CCUACGCGUGGCUGCAGUGAGGAAUAUUGGUCAAUGGGCGCGAGUCUGAACCAGCCAAGUAGCGUGAAGGAUGACUGCCCUACGGGUUGUAAACUUCUUUUAUAUAGGAAUAAAAUGUUGCACGUGUGUGAUUUUGUAUGUACCAUAUGAAUAAGGAUCGGCUAACUCCGUGCCAGCAGCCGCGGUAAUACGGAGGAUCCGAGCGUUAUCCGGUUUUAUUGGGUUUAAAGGGAGCGUAGGUGGAUUGUUAAGUCAGUUGUGAAAGUUUGCAGCUCAACCGUAAAAUUGCAUUUGAUACUGGCAGUCUUGAGUACAGUAGAGGUGGGCGGAAUUCGUGGUGUAGCGGUGAAAUGCUUAGAUAUCACGAAGAACUCCGAUUGCGAAGGCAGUUCACUAGACUGCAACUGACACUGAUGCUCGAAAGUGUGGGUAUCAAACAGGAUUAGAUACCCUUGUAGUC
rnacentral:rRNA from 1 species